CAGAGUUGCAAAACUCCCACAAACCAUCGCGAAUCUUACCCGUACGGUUGCCUCGGCGCUGGCGGUCCGGAAGGCCCUCGGGCCCCCGGAUCCUCGGGUCUCCCGCUCGCGGGAGGCUGCCCGCCGGAGUGCCGAAACCAAACUCUUGAUAUUUUAUGUCUCUCUGAGUAAACCUUUAAAUAAGUCA
rnacentral:misc_RNA from 1 species